AGAGCGAACGCUGGCGGCAGGCCUAAUACAUGCAAGUCGAACGGAUCCUUCGGGAUUAGUGGCGGACGGGUGAGUAACACGUGGGAACGUGCCCUUUGGUUCGGAACAACUCAGGGAAACUUGAGCUAAUACCGGAUAAGCCCUUUUGGGGAAAGAUUUAUCGCCAUUGGAGCGGCCCGCGUCUGAUUAGCUAGUUGGUGGGGUAAAGGCCCACCAAGGCUACGAUCAGUAGCUGGUCUGAGAGGAUGAUCAGCCACACUGGGACUGAGACACGGCCCAGACUCCUACGGGAGGCAGCAGUAGGGAAUCUUGCGCAAUGGGCGAAAGCCUGACGCAGCCAUGCCGCGUGAAUGAUGAAGGUCUUAGGAUUGUAAAAUUCUUUCAGCGGGGACGAUAAUGACGGUACCCGCAGAAGAACGCCCCGGCUAACUUCGCGCCAGCAGCCGC
rnacentral:rRNA from 1 species